UUGAAAGAAAAGAUCGAGAUUUGGAGAAACUGCCGGAACAAAAGACUAUUAAAAACAGAUUAUAGAUAAUUAGUUGGGUUGGAAUUUUUUCAAUUUCCUUCUUUAUUCCUUGAUGUCGGUCAGGAAAUAAUUAAAUGAAAUCUAGAAGAUUGGCAAAUAUGGAAGCUUGCCAUUGUCAAUGUUCAAGAAAAUUCACGAAAAGAAUUCUAGUUACUGGAGGUGCAGGUUUUAUGUAAGGAAGGUCAUUAUUUUAUCCAAGUAACCCAUUAAGUUGCAUUGCGCCCUACUUUAUUAUUUAAUAUUAAAAUUUGCUCACUAUUUAUAUUUUGUAGUUUAUAAUUUUAAUAAUACUGUAGUUAUAUAAAUUAUCACAAGUUUAUAAAUUUGUUCUAUGGUCUAGUGCUUCACAUGUUGUGAUAAUGUUGGUGGAAAGAUAUCCUGAUUAUUUCAUUGUCAACUUAGAUAAGGUGAGAGAUCAUAUCAAUAUUAAUUUUAUAAAUAACCCUUCUACGUCGCUGCCUUCAACUUGCGGCUAGCCCAGGCACAGAAUAGGAAGGUACAGCAGAAGUGCAACUUGAGUCGGUUCCUUUAUUGUUUUAUGUCCACGAAAAUUUUAACUCGCUCACACCAUCCUGGCUAGUAAAACCAGAAGUUUUUAUCAGGUUUUGGUAGGUACAAAGUGCCGGUUCUACUAGCCAGGAUGGUGUGAUUGAUGACAAAUUGCUUGUAAAAACACGGACAAAUACUUGCUUGAGUUACACUUCUGCUAUACCUUCCUAUUCUGUGGCCCAGGGUACGUACAAGGUUGAUAACCCUUCUGGAAAGUUAUGUCACUUUGGUCUUUGGCCAUGUAGCUAGCUCAC